AGUGAACGCUGGCGGCGUGCCUAAUACAUGCAAGUCGAACGGAAUUUAAAAGAGCUUGCUCUUUUAAAUUUAGUGGCGCACGGGUGAGUAAUAUAUAGCUAAUCUGCCCCUUGCUGGAGGACAACAGUUAGAAAUGACUGCUAAUACUCCAUACUCCUUUUUACCAUAAGAUAAAUCGGGAAAGAAUUUCGGCAAGGGAUGAGACUAUAUCGUAUCAGCUAGUCGGUGGGGUAACAGCCUACCGAGGCUAUGACGCGUAACUGGUCUGAGAGGAUGAUCAGUCACAUUGGAACUGAGACACGGUCCAAACUCCUACGGGAGGCAGCAGUAGGGAAUAUUGCGCAAUGGGGGAAACCCUGACGCAGCAACGCCGCGUGGAGGAUGACACUUUUCGGAGCGUAAACUCCUUUUGUUAGGGAAGAAUAAUGAC
rnacentral:rRNA from 1 species